rnacentral:rRNA from 1 species
CCUACGGGAGGCAGCAGUGGGGAAUUUUGCGCAAUGGGGGAAACCCUGACGCAGCAACGCCGCGUGGAGGAUGAAGUCCCUUGGGACGUAAACUCCUUUCGACCGGGAAGAAUAAAUGACGGUACCGGUGGAAGAAGCCCCGGCUAACUUCGUGCCAGCAGCCGCGGUAAU